AACGCGAAGAACCUUACCUGGGCUUGAACUACUGGUAGUAAGUCUUUGGAAACAUGGACUGAUCCGCAAGGAAGCCAGCAGAGGUGCUGCAUGGUUGUCGUCAGCUCGUGUCGUGAGAUGUUGGGUUAAGUCCCGCAACGAGCGCAACCCCUAUCUCAUGUUGCUAAUCCCGCAAGGGAUGCACUUUUGAGAAACUGCCUUCGAUAAGAAGGAGGAAGGUGGGGAUGACGUCAAAUCCUCAUGGCCCUUAUGUCCAGGGCUACACACGUGCUACAAUGGCCGGUACAACGGGAAGCAAUACCGCAAGGUGGAGCCAAACCCUGAAAGCCGGCCCCAGUUCAGAUCGUGGGCUGAAACUCGCCCACGUGAAGGCGGAAUCGCUAGUAAUCGCGAAUCAGCAGGUCGCGGUGAAUACGUUCCCGGGCCUUGUA
rnacentral:rRNA from 1 species